rnacentral:rRNA from 1 species
UACGAAGGGUGCUAGCGUUGUUCGGAAUCACUGGGCGUAAAGCGCGCGUAGGCGGCUUUUCAAGUCAGGGGUGAAAUCCCACGGCUCAACCGUGGAAUUGCCUUUGAAACUGGGAAGCUAGAGUGUCGGAGGGGAUAGCGGAAUUGCUAAUGUAGAGGUGAAAUUCGUAGAUAUUAGCAGGAACACCGGUGGCGAAGGCGGCUAUCUGGACGACAACUGACGCUGAAGUGCGAAAGCGUGGGGAUCAAACAGG